UGACUAUAUCAUGUUGAAAUACCGGUUCUCUUACAAUCACCAAAGUUAAGCAUCAUCAAGCCUUGUCAGUACCUAGGUGGGUGACCACUUAAGAAUACCAGGUGCUGUAAG